rnacentral:rRNA from 1 species
AAAUAGUACUUUGCAGAGAGAGUUAACAGGGCGUGAAACCGUUAAUUGGCAAACGAAUCGGAGCCACGAAGUCGUUUCGCUGAGUUGGGUUGAGUUCAGCCUAGAACCUCGGUUCUAGGUGUAUUCUUGGCCCGGCCGUUGUAAGCGUACACUGCAACCAGUUAGACGAUUGAAGAUGGGCCCAGCUGCUCGAGUUAGUAGUAGUGUGGUGUGCCUCGGUGCAUUCAUAUUGCUGGGCUCGGGUAAGUGAGCUAUCCUCAAAUACUGACUGGCAAAAUGAAAAUCGCGUAAGCGUUUUACAAAAAGCGGCUAGGCGUAUGGUUAUCUACGCAGCUGACCAUGGGGUCCUAAGCUCGGCAGUUUUGAAUUUAGGCUUGCUUGCUACCAAUGGGGCAACUCUUGGUGCUUGUAUAGUUUCUAUCUAAUCGGCUGUCGACUUGAUCGUGUGUUGUUUAGUUGUGCUUUGAUGGGGUGGCCAUAUGACUUGGUUUGCAAUUAUUGGCAGUGAGUAGGUCGGCUUUCCGAACGACCCGUCUUGAAACACGGA